UACGUAGGGUGCGAGCGUUGUCCGGAAUUAUUGGGCGUAAAGAGCUUGUAGGCGGUUUGUCGCGUCUGCUGUGAAAUCUCAAGGCUCAACCUUGAGCUUGCAGUGGGUACGGGCAGACUAGAGUGUGGUAGGGGAGACUGGAAUUCCAGGUGUAGCGGUGAAAUGCGUAGAUAUCUGGAGGAACACCGGUGGCGAAGGCGGCGUCCUGGACCAACACUGACACUGAUGAGCGAAAGCCAGGGGAGCAAACGGG
rnacentral:rRNA from 1 species